rnacentral:snRNA from 1 species
GUGCUCAUUCCGGCAGCAUAUAUACUAAAAUUGGAAUGAUACAGAGAAGAUUAGGAUGGCCCCUGCGCAAGGAUGGCAUGACAUGCAAAUUUGUGAAGCGUUCCAUAUUUUU